CAACUUAAUUAAGGAAGCUUCUAAUUGAAAAGUCUACCUUUAGAUUAGAUCUCAAAUCAGGCAGGAUUACCCGCUGAACUUAAGCAUAUCAAUAAGCGGAGGAAAAGAAACUAACAAGGAUUCCCCUAGUAGCGGCGAGCGAAGCGGGAAAAGCUCAAAUUUGUAAUCUGGCGUCUACGACGUCCGAGUUGUAAUCUCGAGAAGUGUUUUCCGUGAUAGACCGCAUACAAGUCUCUUGGAACAGAGCGUCAUAGUGGUGAGAACCCAGUACACGAUGCGGAUGCCUAUUACUUUGUGAUACACUUUCGAAGAGUCGAGUUGUUUGGGAAUGCAGCUCAAAUUGGGUGGUAAAUUCCAUCUAAAGCUAAAUAUUGGCGAGAGACCGAUAGCGAACAAGUACCGUGAGGGAAAGAUGAAAAGCACUUUGGAAAGAGAGUUAACAGUACGUGAAAUUGUUGGAAGGGAAACACAUGCAGCCAGACUUGCUAUUCGGGGCAACUCGAUUGGCAGGCCCGCAUCAGUUUUUCGGGGCGGAAAAUCAUAGAGAGAAGGUAGCAAUUUCGGUUGUGUUAUAGCUCUUUAUUGGAUUCGCCCUGGGGGACUGAGGAACGCAGCGUGCUUUUAGCAUAAGCUUCGGCU
rnacentral:rRNA from 1 species